rnacentral:rRNA from 1 species
AUUGAACGCUGGCGGAAUGCUUUACACAUGCAAGUCGAGCGGCAGCGCGGGGCAACCUGGCGGCGAGCGGCGAACGGGUGAGUAAUGCAUCGGAACAUGUCCAUGUCGUGGGGGAUAGCCCGGCGAAAGCCGGAUUAAUACCGCAUAUGCCCGAGAGGGGAAAGCCGGGGACCGCAAGGCCUGGCGCGAUUGGGUUGGCCGAUGUCCGAUUAGCUAGUUGGCGGGGAAGAGCCCACCAAGGCGAUGAUCGGUAGCUGGUCUGAGAGGACGACCAGUCACACUGGAACUGAGACGCGGUCCAGACACCUACGGGUGGCAGCAGUCGAGAAUUUUCUCAAUGGGGGCAACCCUGAAGGAGCGACGCCGCGUGGAGGAUGAAGGCUUUC